UUUAGAUAUCCACAAGGAUAUCUUGCCUUAAAGAUGAAAAGGAAGGCAUCAACAGCUCAUAUUGGUUGAAAUAAUUGCACCCAGCCAACGGAUGCAUUACACAGGUUCCCAACUAAAAAUGGGUGAAAACCUGUGCAGCACGCUAGCACCUGAUUCAGUGCAGGCCCAUGAAGUACCAAACCAAAUCAGACCUCCAACAUGAAUAUCAAGAGUCUUGGAUUACCAGAGCGACCAGAAAUUCACCAUCACCACCUACACUUCCACUUGAGUUCUUUUUACAACGAUUACGGUCAAUGAACCUGCGCCUGGGCUCAAGACAAUUCUUAGCUUCACUGUUCCUGAUCAAAAGUCCGGCAAGGUAUCAGGAUAUUGCAUCUAGGCUCAUAGAUCUCUCCAUUAUCACUUGCAUGUAACUUGCAGAUAAGCUCUGGAAUUAGAACUAAUAGACUAUAGUUGCAUUUUGCAACUUUCAGGUAUCGAAUCUGUUUAUUUGCGGGAGGGUGAGGAUGAGUUGUUGUGGGGAGCUGCUUAGCUGCACAAAGCCACCAAAAACCCAGCUUAUCUGAACUACAUUCAAGCAAAUGGUCAGACACUUGGAGCUGAUGAGACUAACAAUACCUUUGGUUGGGAUAACAAACAUGUUGGGGCAAGAAUCUUAA